rnacentral:rRNA from 1 species
GAUGAACGCUGGCGGCGUGCCUAAUACAUGCAAGUCGAGCGAACAGACGAGGAGCUUGCUCCUCUGACGUUAGCGGCGGACGGGUGAGUAACACGUGAAUAACCUACCUAUAAGACUGGGAUAACUUCGGGAAACCGGAGCUAAUACCGGAUAAUAUAUUGAACCGCAUGGUUCAAUAGUGAAAGACGGUUUUGCUGUCACUUAUAGAUGGAUCCGCGCCGCAUUAGCUAGUUGGUAAGGUAACGGCUUACCAAGGCGACGAUGCGUAGCCGACCUGAGAGGGUGAUCGGCCACACUGGAACUGAGACACGGUCCAGACUCCUACGGGAGGCAGCAGUAGGGAAUCUUCCGCAAUGGGCGAAAGCUUGACGGAGCAACGCCGCGUGAGUGAUGAAGGUCUUCGGAUCGUAAAACUCUGUUAUUAGGGAAGAACAAAUGUGUAAGUAACUAUGCACGUCUUGACGGUACCUAAUCAGAAAGCCACGGCUAACUACGUG